rnacentral:rRNA from 1 species
CACGUAGGGGGCGAGCGUUGUCCGGAAUUAUUGGGGCGUAAAGAGCUUGUAGGCGGUUUGUCGCGUCUGCUGUGAAAUUUCGGGGCUCAACCCCGAACUUGCAGUGGGUACGGGCAGACUAGAGUGUGGUAGGGGAGACUGGAAUUCCUGGUGUAGCGGUGAAAUGCGCAGAUAUCAGGAGGAACACCGAUGGCGAAGGCAGGUCUCUGGGCCAUAACUGACGCUGAGAAGCGAAAGCAUGGGGAGCGAACAGG